UGUACCCCCAGGACCCUCCGGAGGACGUCGGACGCCUGGCCGGCUUCAUCGUGACGGAGAUCGACCUGAAGAAACAAGGGUUUAUUGACGAGACCCAGUUUAUCUCGUGGAUGCACAGGCUGCCCGCGGAGACCCUAGAAUCACUGCUGCGCUUCUCCGCACUGCCUGAUGGGAUAGAGGAGCCGUCGUCGCCCAGGGGAGACCUUCCUCGGGAGGUUGCUUCUGAAGAAUCAAUGGAUGCACAGUUUCAUUUGAUCGCCAUGGAGAUGGCCAAGCGGAAGA